rnacentral:misc_RNA from 1 species
UAUUCUAGGUAAUUGUUUCUGAACUGAUGCAAUUUGCCAGAGAUACUAAAUAAACUCAUUAUGUGUAAAUAACACACACAGAUCGGCACAUACACCGGGGUGCUCUCAUGCGGUUAAUUCAUUGAUGUGAAUGGCUUUCAUCUGAGAGGGUCUGUUACGAAUAACCCGCAGUUAAAGAGUCGGUGUCAUGGGAUCUGUGGAGGCAUAACC